rnacentral:rRNA from 1 species
ACGUAUGUCUCGAGCGUUAUCCGGAAUUACUGGGUGUAAAGAGUUCGUAGGCGGCGAAUUAAGUUAGGUAUGAAAGACCGGAGCUCAACUCCGUGUUUGUGCUUAAAACUGGUUUGCUAGAAUUAGGGAGAGGUAAGCGGAAUUCUAAGUGUAGGGGUGCAAUCCGUAGAUACUUAGAGGAACACCAAAAGCGAAGGCAGCUUACUGGAACUAUAUUGACGCUGAGGAACGAAAGCGUGGGGAGCGAAAAGG